rnacentral:lncRNA from 1 species
CGUCCGAACGAAGACAGUGAGUUCAAGAUGAUUUCUUGCAAUUCUUAGGACGUCCGGUCCCUCCACAGUAUACGUCCGAAAGUAAACUUGCAAAUCCUUCUUCAUUUCUUUCGGACGUCCGAUGCUCCAGUGUUUUGCGUCCGAAGUACAGCAACGUUUGUCGGACGUCCGGUAUAGAGGUAUUGUGUGUCCGAACGAGGUCAGUGAUCAUAGAUGUUUUGACACAUUACCUUCGGACGUCCGAGUGUGAGUUCUUCAUGCGUCCGAAGUUACUCAAUGGUUGUCGGCCGUCCGUUAUGGUUCUUUUGUGCGUCCGACAGUAAUUU